rnacentral:rRNA from 1 species
CAAUAGCGUAUAUUUAAGUUGUUGCAGUUAAAAAGCUCGUAGUCGGAUUUUGGCUGAGAACGAUCGGUCCGCCGUUAGGUGUGCACUGAUUGGUCUCAGCUUCCUGGUGAGGAGGUGUGCUUCACGGCCACUUAGUCACCGUGGUUACUUUGAAAAAAUUAGAGUGUUCAAAGCGGGCUUACGCUUGAAUAUAUUAGCAUGGAAUAACACCAUAGGACUCCUGUCCUAUUUCGUUGGUCACGGGACGGGAGUAAUGAUUAAGAGGAACAGUUGGGGGCAUUCGUAUUUCAUUGUCGGAGGGGAAAUUCUUGGAUUUAUGAAAGACGAACUUCUGCGAAAGCAUUUGCCAAGGAUGUUUUCAUUGA